rnacentral:tRNA from 1 species
CGCGGGGUGGGAGCAGUCUAGGGAUCGUUGGGCUCAUAACCCGAGGUCGCAGGUUCAAGAAUCCACGCCCCCGCAACCA